AGGGAUUCCUAAUUACUAAUGAAAAAGAAACAUGAUGAAGACAAGAAACAGGCUGUGCUCAUUCCUUUUAAUAUAACUUGGGUAUUUACUGUACGGUCAGCUGUUCACCUUUGUGUCAAAUGCUCUUCUGCCUCUAAGGAGCAGGAGACUGCUCAGGAUAACCACUGCCUUUAGAAGAAGAAAGAUGGUGUUGUGCGGGGGAGGAAGAUGCAGCUAUUACACCUAAAAUUUUCCAGUAGAGCAAACAACGAAGAAUGUGGGGGGAGCGAUUGUGCUGCUGUGCACCCUGCCACUUGAGCAGCUGUGUCCUGUCCUCUUAAGAUCCUGGCUUUGGAUUUGACAGACAUGGUCUCCGCAGUCUGCAGAGAGUGAAGCUAAAGGCCAGUUAUGUUUCUUCAAAGGAUAACUUCCACAACUAAAGAAGCUACCCUGAAGAAGAGUAUGUAUGAAGAAGAGUCACUCACCAGAGACAUUUUUGUUUCCAUCUUAAGAAACCUGAUCCUGCUCCAGCAGACGUCAAUGAAGUCUCACCAUUAACCAUGAAGAAAACGAAAAACCAUCCUCUCAGAAAUCAUUGCAGCCUAUUCCUUUUUCUCUUGCCGCUUCAGUCUAUGGCUUUUGUCUUUCACAGCUCUUUUGUUUAUUGUUUCAGUUUGCAGUUCUCUCAUGUUUUGGUCAUUGAUUUUGCUUUCUUCGUUCUCACUGUAGCUUUACUACUCGGUGUUUUCCCUUCUACAAAGGAAAUAGGUAAUUUGCUGUACAAACAGGCUUUGUUAGAUUUGAUGCAACAGCAAUAGUCGGCCCUCCAUUCAGUAACACUAAUGUCCUGUGAACCCCAGAUUUAGUCUGCUAUCAUUCCCUCUCAUGUCCCUGGCUUAUGAGGGGAUCACAUUUUAUUUGCUGGUCUUAUCAGUGUUUUUUUCUUCUUCUGGUAAUUGCCUGACCUGCUAUGAUUGUUGUUUGCAGUAUUUACUGACUCACAGAUCUUUCUGUCUACUUUAUCUGUGCUUAUUCUUAUCAGUAGAGGCUCAUUGACAUUUUCUUCAUUCAGUGCCCACACACAGACUUCUCAGUGCCUAAUGAUGGGCACUUUGAGAUCUAAAAUAUUUGUAUAGCAUUCAGGGGAAAAAAAAUUCACUAAAACUAAUGGUAUGUUUUAUGUGAUAGUGUACACUUUUUAAUUACAUAAUUAAAACAGAAAACACUUACUUUAUUUUAUAUCCCAUAACAAUCACAGAUUUUUACUACCAAAAAAAUGCCCAAACCAAUCAAACAAAAUUCCCUAAAAAACCCACAGCUGAACUAAUUUUAAAACACACAAAAGUAAAAAAAUUUGCUUGGAAUAACCUCUCCCCCCAAUUUGCAGUUUUGCUUCAGAAUACGUUUGUUUAUCCUUAUACUGCAAGAUGCAAAGUAAAUUCCAUUAGUGCCUUUGCACACUGUGCUCUCUGCAAUUUAUGCUGAGCAGUAACAGACUUCAGCAGUAAGUGGCCACAUAGUGAGAUGAACAGUUACGUAACCACAGACAGUAAUUGGAUGCUAUUAAUGAGAAUUUGGGAUAACACCAUUUUUUAGCCCCAGACGUAGUUAACUUUUUAUAAUCUCGAUUAGUGCCAUAUACUCCUUUACAGUGCAUAAUUAUUUUCCUAAUCUCCAUUUAUGCCCUCCGAAGUCACUGAAACAAAGACCUUUUUGCAUUACCCUGAUUUGUCCAAAUGCCUCAGAUUAUGUAUCACAAGUACGGAUUUGUAAAUAGUGUCUCUUCAUAUGGAGAUGUGAAAAGUUUUGUCACCUUGUAGACAGAUGUAAGAAAUUGUACUUUUCAGAGUCCUAAUUCUUUUACCUUUUUAAUCUCAUUCCUCUUGUUCCUGUGAAUAAAUGUCUGCACCCUUAGAAAGCAGCAGCUGCUUGUAUUACACCUUCUCAGAUAGUCUGUCUGGCCAGAAACCAGAGCAGGACUGAAGCAAGCAUCUGUUCAUAAUUUAUUUUUUCUUGCUAUUGGCUUACAGAAGGGAAUAAAGGGGGAGCUUGGUCUAGGUCCUGUACCAGACCCCUCUUUUUUAGGUACUUUCCAGCAUGACAACCCUGACUCUCUAAAUAGAUAUGCUUGGGAACAGACCUAGGAUGUUGGCAGCUUAAAAGGAUAGGGCUCCAACAUCUGCUGUGGACAAAUAGACACCUCUUAGCAGAAGGUGUAGCAAAAUAAAAAAUUCCGUAGUCUACAAAAUGUAUGGUUUUCCACUGAAAAUUGUGGCCUUGACAUGUGAGUACAAGCGUGCUCUGACCUGAUUUCCUGGGUAACUGUGGUUACUGCAUGUGAAGCCACUGGCAGCUGCAGGUGCUCAGCACUUGGAAAAAUAAGGUAUCAAGUAACAAAGAUGAACUGGCAAAGAAUGUUUUUUAAAAAGAAUACCAGUUGAUCAAUAUUCAGAUAAACACUUCAAAUUGUGCGCUGUAUGUGAUCAUAUUUGAAAGAAUUCAUACCUAGAGCAGUCUAAUAAAGCACUGCAAUUGAAAGAAGUAAAUUCAAGGUAACAUUUUUUACAUUUUUUUAUUUUUUAUUUUCUGCUUAGAGUCACUGAACUCUAUGUAAUUGACUGAUCUUUAAUUGGAGUCUGUGUCUAUAGAAAUUAGUUUUUACAGAUAGAUUAUUACUAGGUGAAAAUCCUAGAAUUUUGGAUAUAUUAUUUUUGUAUCAAGACCUUGUGGAAAGU